UAAUUUUCAAUAAAUUAAAAA
rnacentral:piRNA from 1 species